UGUUUUGCCUUCCUUUCUAAUGUUUCUUUCCCCUUUAUUCUCUUCAUUCCAUAGCUCCCCCAGCUAAUUCUCCCACUAUCUCUCUCGGCCUCCUUUCUAUUUUUUCCUAUCAUUCUUUUUUAGAUUUGGGUAAUCACAGGCCAAAAAAACACCCACGCAAGUGACAGUAGGAAGAAAGUUUUUGUGAGAGGGAAAGACCCAAAGUUUUUCUCUGUCGUUUCUAUUUUUAUUGAUAUUAAAAUCCCCUGCUUCAUUGUAGACUGAUAUCCAGGAAAAUCUUCUAAAUGGUUGUCCGCCAUGUGAUUAGCCGGUUCAAGAAAUUCCUAUUCUUCAAUGGCCUGUUCGGAGAUAGGCCGCAUUGGAAUAGAUCGGAAUACCAUAUAUUUUAAGCAUCCUUUUCGUCUCUUUCUUUGUCAUAUUCCGGUUUUGAGAUAUUCCAGUUCGAGAAUAACCCGCAAUCUUCAAUAAAAUUAUAAUUUUAUUUAAUAAAAUAAUAUGUAUCACAAUAUUUUUAUAAAAAUUUUAAUUAA